GAGGUACUCCCUUCGUUCGGAAUUACUUGUCUUGGAAAUGGAUGUAUCUAGAACUAAAAUACAUCUAGAUACAUCCAUUUCCGAGACAAGUAAUUCCGAACGGAGGGAGUAAAUG
rnacentral:pre_miRNA from 1 species